rnacentral:rRNA from 1 species
GGCCCUACGGGGUGCACCAGGCGAGAAAACUUUGCAAUGUGCGAAAGCACGACAAGGUUAAUCCGAGUGGUUUCUGCUAAAGGAACCUUUUGUUAGUCCUAGAAACACUAACGAAUAAGGGGUGGGCAAGUUCUGGUGUCAGCCGCCGCGGUGAAACCAGCACCUCAAGUGGUCAGGAUGAUUAUUGGGCCUAAAGCAUCCGUAGCCGGCUUUGUAAGUUUUCGGUUAAAUCUGUACGCUCAACGUACAGGCUGCCGGGAAUACUGCAGAGCUAGGGAGUGGGAGAGGUAGACGGUACUCGGUAGGAAGGGGUAAAAUCCUUUGAUCUAUUGAUGACCACCUGUGGCGAAGGCGGUCUACCAGAACACGUCCGACGGUGAGGGAUGAAAGCUGGGGGAGCAAACCGGAUUAGAUACCCGGGUAGUCCCAGCUGUAAACUAUGCAAACUCAGUGAUGCAUUGGCUUGUGGCCAAUGCAGUGCUGCAGGGAAGCCGUUAAGUUUGCCGCCUGGGAAGUACGUACGCAAGUAUGAAACUUAAAGGAAUUGGCGGGGGAGCAC